UUUGUUAAUCUCUAGAAGCAUCAUCAUCAUAUGACACCCUUACAAAUUUUGCUACCUUCUGUUGAAUCACAUGCCAUAAACAAUAAGGAUAGCAUUUAAGGGAUUACUUUGGUGGUAAAAAACAUGUGUUCCUUUUCAUGAUGCUAGUGUAUGAAAAAUGAGUUCUUUAAAUUGUUAAGAAACACAAUGUAGUUUUGGUCGACGUGUAAAUUAAUCUAAGAAUAUAAUUUAACAUUAAAUAAAACAAAUAAAAAAUAGUGAUACGAUGUAUUGCACCUAAUAUCAUGAAGACUAUUAAAAUUGUAUAGGAAAAAAAUAAAUAUUUGAUAUCUU
rnacentral:lncRNA from 1 species